UGGACUUUCCAUUGAAUUUUGGGUGGCCGUGGCCAAAUCGGUACAAACGAUAUUUCUUUCAUUUUUCCUUGUUUAAUUAAAUAAAACUUUUUAUUCUAAUCCGUCUCCAAAAUGGUUUUAGUCUCAGACCGAGUAUCUAGACCUGUCUUCUUCUUCUCUCUCUAACUCUGCUAUUUUCGAUCUUCAUCUCUUCGAUGGCCGCUCCGAGUCGGAGCCUCCGACCACAACGACCACACCCACCUCUCUUAUCCCCUCUCUAAUCAUUUCAUCUUUUGCCAGUCACUUAAAAUUAAAAAGCUGUUUCUCACUCUCUCUUGAAGCUUCUCAAUCUGGAUCUGGCAUAUCGCUGGACCAUCAACCAUCGUCUUCUCUUUUUCCUGCACUUUCCCUCACACUUUCAGAUUGACUUUCCAUGCCGAGUUCAGUCCCUCUGAUAUCUAUUUAGAUCGCCAUGGAUUCUUCUUUUCAAAACCAAACAAGGCUACCUUUCUACUGUCAUCGCACAGAGUUGGUAUUCAAGAUUAUGAAUUUCCUAAAGCCAAGGUAAUUCUUUUAUUUCUCCAGGAGCAAAGCUCCACUUAAUCCCCCUUGCCUUGCCGUACCACUUUCAAAAAAUAGCUCAGGU